rnacentral:misc_RNA from 1 species
CGCACCUUGCGCUUGCUGGUAUUCCGGCAAGCAUGCCUGUUCGAGCGUCAUUUCAACCAUCAAGCCCAGCUUGGUAUUGGACCCGGCCCUGGGGCCAGUCCGUAACUAGUUGGCGGUGCUGUGCAGCCUUAAGCGUAACAGAAAUCUCGCUUCUGGGUUGACGCGGCGUCUGCCGGUUAAGACAUUCUCUGAAGUUUGACCUCGGAUCAGGUAGGGAUACCCGCUGAACUUAA